rnacentral:snRNA from 1 species
GAAUGGACUCUUUCCAAAUGCAUGUGGGUCUCAUGCUCCAUUGAAAAGGACAAACUACCAACCUUCCCCAACAGAGGAGGACCAUUCUUUGGUCAUGGGUAUACCAGUAGCUGUGCUCCUCUGCUAGAACCUCCAAACAAGUUCUCAAAAAUUAUGUGGAUCACUUACCAAAAUACACCAAAGCUGGGCCACAAAACAAGUCUCACU